AGGAAUCACGUGACUCGAGAGAGAUCUCGCGAGGAUUUUUAACCUCUCGCGAUACUUCACCCGCCUCUUCUAUACCUCCUUCAGCCCCCGGUUUUAGUCCUCUCCAGUUCACUCCCGGUUGAGAUCCGAGUUUCUAGCCCGGGUUAACUAGUUGUCGACGCGGACUUUUUUGUUGCUGCUGCUGUUGCUGCCACCGCUGGGCUCAUUUGCCCCUUACCCCUUCCCGUCGCCACUCUCCCAACCCCACACAAGAUGUCAGAGGAUCUAGCAAAGCAGCUGGCAAGCUACAAAGCUCAACUCCAGCAAGUUGAGGCUGCGCUGUCUGGAAAUGGAGAAAAUGAAGAUUUACUAAAAUUAAAGAAAGAUUUACAAGAGGUUAUUGAACUAACCAAAGACCUUCUAUCAACUCAGCCUUCUGAAACUCUGGCAAGUUCAGACAACUUUGCUUCUACUCAGCCCACUCAUUCAUGGAAAGUGGGAGACAAGUGUAUGGCAAUCUGGAGUGAAGAUGGACAGUGUUAUGAAGCGGAGAUUGAGGAGAUAGAUGAAGAAAACGGCACCGCUGCAAUCACUUUUGCUGGCUAUGGCAAUGCUGAAGUGACUCCACUGUUGAACCUCAAGCCUGUAGAAGAAGGAAGGAAGGCAAAGGAAGACAGUGGCAACAAACCCAUGUCAAAAAAAGAAAUGAUUGCCCAGCAGCGUGAAUAUAAAAAGAAGAAAGCUUUGAAAAAAGCACAGAGAAUAAAAGAACUUGAACAAGAAAGAGAGGACCAGAAGGUGAAAUGGCAACAGUUCAACAACAGAGCCUAUUCUAAAAACAAAAAAGGCCAGGUAAAGAGGAGUAUUUUUGCUUCACCUGAGAGCGUCACUGGCAAAGUUGGAGUGGGAACUUGUGGAAUCGCUGAUAAACCUAUGACACAGUAUCAGGAUACCUCCAAAUACAAUGUUCGGCAUUUGAUGCCGCAAUAGUCAGAAAAACUGUUGGAUUUCAUCUCUGCAGGGCUUUACAUUUACCUUUUUAUCCUUAUAUUUUUCUAAAGGGUGUGUUAACCGAUAGGUAAAGUCUUAGCUGCCAGCAUUGAUACAGUGAUAAAGCAUACAUCAUUUCCACAGAAAAGAAUAUUGAGAUUUUUGAGUUGCAAGUUAGACUGAAUUUUUACUGCAGUGGAGAGGAAGAGCAUAGCAGGUAAAAUAACAGGUAAUACCAUAGUUUAAACAAAACCAAAGUUACUGAAUCAUCUUAUACUGUGAUCUUUUUUUAAAAGCAUAUCUGUAUAAAUGUACUCUUAAGAAACAUCUCAAGAGGUUCAGAAAUCAAUAUUGACUUUCUAUGAAUUUGUUUUGGCCUUGCCAGAGUAAGUACUUAAAAAAAAAAAAAACACAGAGAUGAAGGUGUUGGAUUUCUGUGAGGGUCUUCACUUACCUUUCAGCUUACGUAUAUAUUAAGUUGGUGCAAAUGUAAUUGCAGUUUCAGACCGUGAAUUUUAAGUCAUAAUUAGGCUCAAACACAUCUUUAUUAAUCAAAAUAGGAACCAUUACAAUGAACACAUUUUUGCCAACGAGAAAUAAGUUUACUCUUAGCAUAAAAAUCUAUGCCUUGGGAUUCAGUGAAUUCUUGGAAAGCAUUUUCUGCCUCCUGCUGGUCGUGGAAGCAUUUUCCCUGCAAAAAAAUAUCGUCAAGAUUCUCAAAGUGCUAUCUGGUUGGCGAGAGAUCAGGUGAUUAAGGAGGAUGAGGCAAAACUUCAUAGCCCAGUUCAUUCAACUUUUAAAGCAGUUGUGCGACUUGCGGUUAGGCCCUGUAGUGGAGAAGAGUUAGGCCCUUGCUGUUGACCAGUGCUAGCAGUGGGAGUUGUUGUUUUUGGUGCAUCUCAUCAGUUGGCUGAGCACACUUCUCAAUGUAAGUUUUGCCAGGAUUCAGAAAGCUGUAGUGGAUCAGACCAGCAGCAGGCCACCACACAGUGACCAUGACCUUUUUUGGGUGCAAGUUUGGCUCUGGGAACUGCUUUGGAGGUGCUCAGUCCAACCACUGAGCUGGUUAUCACAUAAAGUCCACUUUUCAUCAUGUCACAGUCUUGAGAAAUGGCUCAUUGUUGUGUAGAAUAAGAGAAGACAAUACUUCAAAACAAUAUUUUUGAUUUUGUGGGCAGUGCACGAGGCACCCACUUACCGAGCUUUCUCAACUUUCCAAUUUGCUUCAAAUGCUGAACGACCAUAGGAUGGUCGAUGUGGAGUUCCUUGGCAAUUUCUCUUGUAAGAGGAUCAGUUUCAACGAUGGCUCUCUGUUGGUCGUUGUCAGCUUCUGAUGGCUGGCCACUGCGCUCCUCAUCUUCAAGGCUGUCUCCUCCUUUGCAAAACUUCUUAAACCACCAUGUGCUGUACGUUCAUUAGGAGUUCCUGGGCCAAAUGUGCUGUUGUGAGUUGUCUCUGUUGCUUUACAACCCAUUUUAAACUCAAAUAAGAAAAUCACUCAAAUUGCUUUUUGUCUUAGUAUUAUUUCCAUAGCCUAAAAUACAAACAGCAAGUAACAAGCCACUAGCAAAAAAACAAAAGCAUGAAAUGCACAUUAAAAUGAUUAAGAAUGUAUUCCAAUGUCAAACAAAAAAGGUCAACAAAGCAGAAUCCCAAUUAUUUCUGCACCAACCUAAGUUUCUUUGUUUGUGUGUGCCUUGAGCAGGGAAGAGCAGAUCUGAGAAUAAGCUGAACUUAUACUAAAAAUACCAAAUUUUGGAUACUUAAGUCACCUUUUAGUUGCUGGAAAGAAAAAAAACUGGCAGUUUACUUCCACCAAGCACUUGACCAGUUCAUUUUUACAGGAAGAGUAGACUUGUUACAAUUAUUAAAAUUGUAAUUUGUUUCCCCAGUUAAACAGCACAGCUAAAGAAGCCAUGGUUAUGCUCAUUAGAAGAAAAGGGUUUUUUUGUUUUUUAAUGUUUGAAGAGCUAAUCUGUCAGCUUGAGGGCCCAAAAUCAUGAUUAUUAUUUUGCUGGCUCAUGACUUUCAUUUUUUUGGUGGAACUGAUGUGCAUUUGUUUUUUCCCCCUUUUAAGCCCAACUCAUUUUAGCAAGAUGCAGUAGGCUUGGAGGAAACACUUGACUUAGGAGCAAACACUUGACUUUGGAAAACUAGUGUUGAAGUCUGACAUCCGCAGCUAGGCUAGUCUUUAAUAGAUGGUAAUUGUCCAGGUGUUCAUUGCCCAGAAGUAUGCAGGAAGGAGGAGUAAGUAUCCAUUUGGUUCUUUUGCCCAGAGUUUUUCCCUCCAAAAGCACCGUCAAGUUUAGUUGACCUUUCAGAGUGAAUCUGAUGAAGCUGCAAACUUAGAAACAGUUGACUUCUUAAAUUUGUAUUAUAUACAUUUUAGAGGUAUUUUAUGGCUUUUAUGUUUUUUACAAUGUUAUUCUGUGCCCUGGUAUGAAAAUCUAGAAUAUCCCAAUUACUGUCCUACUGGUAAAGAUUUUUAAAAGCAUUCCUCCAUAGCUAAGAGCUUGAGAAAAUAGAAAAGUCCAAACUUAUAGAAAGUUGGCAGAACUUUAAAAGAGCUUCAUUUUCAUUUUAAGUCAUUUCCCCUAAUAAUCAAUUACUGUAUGAAAAGGUAAAGGGCUUCCCAGGUGGCACUAGUGGUAAAGAAUCCGCCUGCCAGUGCAGGAGACGAAAGA